rnacentral:rRNA from 1 species
ACGCCAGGCGUAAGGCUGAAACUUGAUAGGGAGCGAAAAUAAGUAGCGAAGCAUGCGAAUCCCCGCUGGCGAGAAAAGAUGCUGGCAAUGAUAUGGGCGCCCGUACCGCAAACCGACGCAGGUGGGCGAGGAGAGAAUCCUAAGACGAACGAGAGAACUCUUGUUAAGGAACUCGGCAAAAUGACCACGUAACUUCGGGAGAAGUGGUGCCUCGAAAGAGGCCGCAGAGAAUAGGCCCAAGCGACUGUUUAGCAAAAACACAGGUGUUUGCGAAAGCGAGAGCUGAAGUAUAAGCGCUGACGCCUGCCCGGUGCUGGAAGGUUAAGAGGAGUUGUCAGGCAACGAAGCAGCGAAUCGAAGCCCCAGUAAACGGCGGCCGUAACAAUAACGGUCCUAAGGUAGCGAAAUUCCUUGUCGGGUAAGUUCCGACCCGCACGAAUGGCGUAACGACUUGGGUACUGUCUCAACAAGAGACUCGGUGAAAUUGAAGUAUGUGUGAAGAUGCACAUUACCCGCGACUGGACGGAAAGACCCCGUAGAGCUUUACUGUAGCUUAGCAUUGGAUUUCGAUAAUGGAUGUACAGGAUAGGUGGGAGACUGGGAGACUGUGGCGUCAGCUGCAGAGGAGUCGGUGUUGGGAUACCACUCUUCUGUUAUUGAAAUUCUAACAAGCAGCCGUGAACCGGCGCUUGGACCGUGCUAGGUAGGCAGUUUGACUGGGGCGGUCGCCUCCCAAAGAGUAACGGAGGCGCCCAAAGGUUCCCUCAGAAUGGAUGGAAACCAUUCGAAGAGUGCAAAGGCAGAAGGGAGCCUGACUGCGAGACGGACAGGUCGAGCAGAGAGGAAACUCGGGCUUAGUGAUCCGGCGGUAUUGAGUGGAAAAGCCGUCGCUCAACGGAUAAAAGCUACCUCGGGGAUAACAGGCUGAUCUCCCCCAAGAGUCCACAUCGACGGGGAGGUUUGGCACCUCGAUGUCGGCUCGUCGCAUCCUGGGGCUGAAGCAGGUCCCAAGGGUUUGGCUGUUCGCCAAUUAAAGCGGCACGCGAGCUGGGUUCAGAACGUCGUGAGACAGUUCGGUCCCUAUCCAUCGUGGGCGAAGGAAUCAUGAAAGGAGCUGUCCCUAGUACGAGAGGACCGGGAUGGACGCAUCACUGGUGAAACUGUUGUCGUGCCAACGGCAUAGCAGGGAAGCGAAAUGCGGACGGGAUAAACGCUGAAGGCAUCUAAGCGUGAAGCCCACCUUAAGAUAAAGAUUCCCACAGCGUAAGCUGGUAAGACCCCUUGAAGACGACAAGGUUGAUAGGUCAGCGCUGGAAGCGCGGUAACGCGUGGAGGUUGCUGAUACUAAUAGGUCGAGGGCUUG